GUGCUCAUUUCAGCAGCACAUAUACUAAAAUUAGAAUGAGACAGAGAAGACUAGCAUGGCCCCGAGCAAGGAUGACAUGCAAAUUUGUGAAGCAUUCCAUAAAACU
rnacentral:snRNA from 1 species